UACAGAGGUCUCGAGCGUUAGGCGGAAUCACUGGGCUUAAAGCGUGUGUAGGUGGAUCGUUAAGUACCUUGUGAAAGCCCACGGCUCAACCGUGGAGGGUCAUUGGAAACUGGGGGACUUGAGUACAGAAGAGAAGAGUGGAAUUCCACGUGUAGCGGUGAAAUGCGUAGAGAUGUGGAGGAACACCAGUGGCGAAGGCGACUCUUUGGUCUGUAACUGACGCUGAGGCGCGAAAGCGUGGGGAGCAAACAGG
rnacentral:rRNA from 1 species